rnacentral:lncRNA from 1 species
UUUCCCUUUCCCUCCUCCUUCCUUCCCUGGGGCUCAGCCAGGUUCAUCCAGGGCUGAAGGGAGCAGCACUGGGAGAUGCUGCCCAGGAGUGGGAAGCGGGGAUGAGAGCUGGAAUUGCAGAGAUCUCACUGAGAUGUGCUGGUGAACACAUCCAAGUGUUUCACAGGGGACAGCUGUGACAAGGAGCCACCAGAUCCUGCAGGCUCCAGGCUGCCCUGGAUUUUCCCUGCUCCUCCUGGAGCUCCUGAGGGACGUGGCUUUGAUUUUUCUGCUUCUUUUUCUGCUUCUCCCCCUGCCCAGAGAGCAGAGCCUACGUGAACCCCUUGGUGUGCGCCUUCUUCCUGUCGCUGCUGCCCAUCUGGAUCAUCAUUGCCAGGAGGAAUUCUGCCACCAGGGAGGUGCUGUACUCGGGCUGGGAGCCUGUCAUCAUCGCCAUGGCCAUCAGCAGUGUCGGGGGGCUCAUUCUGGACAGGACGGUGUCGGACCCCAACUUUGCUGGCAUGGCAGUGUUCACCCCAGUCAUCAAUGGUGUGGGUGGCAACCUGGUGGCAGUGCAGGCCAGCCGCAUCUCCACCUACCUGCACAUGAGUGGGGAGCCUGGAGAAGGCCCUGGCACUGCCCCUCGCAAGUGCCCCAGCCCCUGCAGCACCUUCUGCAGCUCAGGUACAGCCUGGGGACUGGGCUGGGUGCCAGCUGGGCACAGCAAAGGGGGCACAGCAAAGGGGGCACAGCCCUGCCCCAUCCAGGGCUCUGCUGGCGGGAAAUGGGGCUGUGGGGUGUCCUGGGCUGGAAGGGGAUUUGUGGAUGUCUUGGUUUGAACAGACAGGUUCUGCUAAGCAAGGCAGCAAAUGGGAAAUUUAAACUCCCCUCCCUCCAAAUUCUUAUACAUUUGAAAUUAAGGGGCUCUCAUGCAAAGAUAUGGGAAUAGGAAUAACAGUUCU